UUAACCGAAUAGGGGAGCCGGAGGGAAACCGAGUCUUAAUUGGGCGUUAAGUUGCAGGGUAUAGACCCGAAACCCGGUGAUCUAGCCAUGGGCAGGUUGAAGGUUGGGUAACACUAACUGGAGGACCGAACCGACUAAUGUUGAAAAAUUAGCGGAUGACCUGUGGCUGGGGGUGAAAGGCCAAUCAAACCGGGAGAUAGCUGGUUCUCCCCGAAAGCUAUUUAGGUAGCGCCUCGUGAACUCAUCUUCGGGGGUAGAGCACUGUUUCGGCUAGGGGGUCAUCCCGACUUACCAACCCGAUGCAAACUGCGAAUACCGAAGAAUGUUAUCACGGGAGACACACGGCGGGUGCUAACGUCCGUCGUGAAGAGGGAAACAACCCAGACCGCCAGCUAAGGUCCCAAAGUCAUGGUUAAGUGGGAAACGAUGUGGGAAGGCCCAGACAGCCAGGAUGUUGGCUUAGAAGCAGCCAUCAUUUAAAGAAAGCGUAAUAGCUCACUGGUCGAGUCGGCCUGCGCGGAAGAUGUAACGGGGCUAAACCAUGCACCGAAGCUGCGGCAGCGACGCUGAUGCGUUGUUGGGUAGGGGAGCGUUCUGUAAGCCUGUGAAGGUGGCCUGUGAGGGUUGCUGGAGGUAUCAGAAGUGCGAAUGCUGACAUAAGUAACGAUAAAGCGGGUGAAAAGCCCGCUCGCCGGAAGACCAAGGGUUCCUGUCCAACGUUAAUCGGGGCAGGGUGAGUCGACCCCUAAGGCGAGGCCGAAAGGCGUAGUCGAUGGGAAACGGGUUAAUAUUCCCGUACUUGGUGUUACUGCGAAGGGGGGACGGAGAAGGCUAUGUUGGCCGGGCGACGGUUGUCCCGGUUUAAGCGUGUAGGCUGGUUUUCCAGGCAAAUCCGGAAAAUCAAGGCUGAGGCGUGAUGACGAGGC
rnacentral:rRNA from 1 species